rnacentral:rRNA from 1 species
ACAUGCCUACAAUAUAGCGUUAAUGCAUUGGAUCCCAUUAGGAAUUCAUUGCUACGUGAACUCAGGAUAGAAUAGUACUGGGAUGGGUGACCUCCCAGGAAGUUUAGUGUUUUACAUGCA